AUGUCGCCCGCCGCGCCCGUCGCCGGCGCCGACGAGACGAGGCGCCUCGCGCGCGAGACGGCGCGCGUGCUCGACGAGUGCCGCGCCUCCCUCGCCUUGCACCCGCGCAAGCUCCGGGAGCUCUCGGCGCUCCGCGCCUCCUCCGCGUCCGGCGGCCGCUUCCUCCCGGCCUUCUGCCACGCCCUCACCCCGCUCUUCGAGGUCCUCCGCCGCUCCCCCGCCUCCGACCGCGUCGCGCGCUUCGCGGCGGCCUUCGCCUCCUCCUCCGCCUCCGUGGCCGCGGACGGCACCGGGUUCCUCGAGGGUUUCCUCCGUUUCCUCCUCGUCGCCUCCGCCGCGGCGCACCGGCCCGCGCGCUUCCGCUCCUGCCAAAUCAUAUCUGAGAUUAUUAUGCAAUUACCGGAAGAUGCCGAGGUGAGUGAUGAGAUUUGGGAUGAAGUGAUUGAUGCCAUGAAGAUUCGGGUUCAGGAUAAAAUCCCUGCAAUUCGAGUUUUCGCUGUUCGUGCAUUGUCUCGUUUUGCGAUUGAUGAAGAGGAUGGUGGCAUCAUCGAUAUUUUUCUUGAGACCCUAGAAAAAGAACAAAACGCUGAUGUCCGAAAGACAAUUAUUUUGUCUCUUCCACCAUCAAGUGCUACACUGGAGUCAAUCAUUGAAUCAACGAUUGAUACCAGUGAACCAGUUCGGAAGGCAGCAUAUUCUGUGCUUUCAACUAAAUUUCCCCUCCAAAGUCUUAGCAUCAAGCAGAGGACAACUCUCCUUCACAGAGGCCUCUCAGAUAGGUCUACAUCUGUGAAAAAUGAAUGCUUGAGGAUGCUGAAGGAGGAGUGGCUUGUAAAGCAUUGUGGUGGAGAUGUCAUCGCCCUUCUCAGGUUUCUUGAUGUCGAGACUUAUGAGUUAGUUGGAGAAUCCGUGAUGGGGGUGCUUCUGAAGGAUGGUUCUGUGCGAGUUCAAGAUGGGCAAACUAUCAGGCAGUACUUUACCGCAAAUACUGAGGAUGCUGAACAAGUUUCCAGUAUCAAGCUCAUGGAGGCUGAGGUUGCUCUUUACUGGAAAGUCAUGUGCAUGCACUUGCAGGCUGAAGCUCAGGUCAAAGGCUCGGAGGCUGCAACAACUACGGGGACCGAGGCAGCAGUAUAUGCUUCUGAGGCGUCGGAUAAAAAUGAUCUUCUUGAUGGUGUCCUUCCUAGCACAGUUGCCGAGUUUGUUGAUUUGGUAAAAGCACACCUUUCAGCUGGACCAAAUUAUCACUUCGCGUCACGGCAACUAUUAUUGCUUGGUGGAAUGCUUGACUUUUCCGAUAGCAUGAACAGGAAAGUUGCAAGUUCAUUUCUGCAUGAGCUUCUGAAUAGACCACUUGAACAUGAAGUAGAUGAAGAUGGAAACCAGAUCGCCAUUGGUGAUGGUGUCAGUCUUGGAGGGGACCUGCAGUGGGCCAAAGCAGUCUCAGAAUUGGCUAAAAAGGUUCAUGCUUCUAUUGGUGAAUUUGAAAUGGUGAUUGCCACUGUCGUUGAAGAACUGGCUAGACCAUGCAGGGAGAGAACUGCUGAUUUCAUGCAAUGGAUGCACUGUCUGGCGGUGACAGGUCUUCUUCUAGAGAAUACUUCAACCUUACGAAGCCUGGAAGGCACAGCAAUCAGACCGUCUGAAGUGCUUCAGUCAUUGUUGCUUCCUGCAGCAAAGCAGAAACAUGUUGACGUACAGAGGGCUGCUUUAAGAUGCCUUUGUCUUUUUGGCUUGUUAGAGAAUAAACCAAGUACAGAGUUGGUGAAGCAGCUGCGUUUAUCAUUCAUCAAUGGGCCUGACUUGGUUAGUGCCAUGGCAUCCAAGGCCUUGAUUGACCUUCUGACUUGGCAUGGUCCACAAGAAUUAGAUCAAGCCAUUGGAACUGAACCAUCUGAUGGUAACUAUGAGAAGACUCAGUUUGCUCCUGUGGACAUCUCUGACUUGAAUGACGAUGAUCUAAACGUUGGGGUUCUUAGUAUUCUGUUUUCUGGAUUUCAUAAAGAUGACUGGGAGUUCAGCCCAGAGGGUGAUAACCAUGAUAAUGUCCCGACCAUUCUUGGUGAAGGUUUUGCAAAAAUUCUUCUCUUGAGUGAGAACUAUCCAAGCAUAUCCGCAGACUUGCAUCCUGUUAUACUAGCUCAACUUGUAAGAUUAUAUUUCCUGGAGGAAUCAAAAGAACUCGGAAGAUUGAAACAGUGUCUGUCUGUCUUCUUUCUCCAUUAUCCAUCCCUUUCAGAGAAGCACAAGAGAUGUGUCUCAAGUGCAUUUGUACCACUCAUGAGAGCCAUGUGGCCAGGUAUCCAUGGUAAUGCUGGGGGUAGUGGACCUGUUGUUUCGAAAAAGCGUAAACAGGCAGUCCAGGCUGCCCGUUUUAUGGUUCAAAUGGUACAAAGUCCAUUGUUUUCAACGGAAACAGCAGAGCAAGCGUGUAUGAGUCCUGAAAGCCUUUCCAGUUCACCAGGUCUGAUUGUCAAUUAUGACAUCAGUGAGGAAGGACUUGCCAUCCGUAUUGCAGUGGAGGUAGGAAAUAGCCAAGACAAGAAGAGCGCGCCUAUGAAAGCAUAUGCAUUGGCUUUGUGCAAGGUUGCUGUGCUUCUAAGAUUCCGGCAAUCAGAACAGAAGGCCAUCAAGUGCAUGAGAGGAAUGGUGAACACAUUGGCUGCUUCAGCGGCUUCUGACAAGGACCUUAUGAAGGAGCUCGCUCAAAUGGCAUCAAGGCUCAAGUCACUAGAUGAAUCCCCGGAAGAGGAACUGCCACAAGAUCAAGCCGACGCCAUAUUCAAGCAACUAGGAUUGGCUGGUGGCGUCAAGUUUGACGCUGCCAAUACAGUGGUGCCACCAACGCCAGCACCUCCUCGGUCAGUCCGGGCUCCUCCAGCCAGGAGAAGAGCAAGGCGGGCGGCAUCAUCUAGCGAUGACAGUGAAGCUGAAGCGGAAGCAGAGAGCUUGGAUGUAACAUCGGUGAGCCAGGUCCCUGCCACUCCCAGCAUGACCACGGCACGCGCUCAGAGAGCAAGCAAGACUGCGGCCCUGAGCAAGUUCAAGUCUGAUGUGAAGCCUUCUCUCGAGGCUGCUUCUGACAGUGAACAAGACGAGAUGUCCGGACUGACAACUGAUGAGGAUCCGUCUGAUGAUUCCGACGACCCCGAUGAGGAGUCGUCUUAA
rnacentral:rRNA from 1 species